GGCUAUGAGGGCGAUCUGGCUGUGACACCUGUCACACCGGGGUUGCUUUGGCUGAUCUGGCUGGCUAAGUGGGUGUCCCUGCCUCCGUAACUGCUCCACGUGGAUCCCUCCCAAAGCUGUACACCUGGCAGAAGAUAAUGACCUUCCCCACACAGGAGGCCUUUCCUUCAAUCACGGGUAUACAUAGAGGUAGCUGUGCUCUCCCCUUCUGGAACCUUGGAAUGUGCUCUCAGGUCCGUUUGUAGGAGAACACCGGGUGGUCAGUCUUUUAAGACAUCCGAGCAAGGCUCUGCCUAUGGUG
rfam:Otolemur garnettii contig144631, whole genome shotgun sequence.